ACUGUCUGCAAGCUGGAGCUCCAGCCAGCCAUCAGCCACCAGGCGGGAGCAGUCACCAUUGGUGUCCAGGGACCGACUGAACAGCAGGAGGGACUGGAAGAGACGGGCAGAAAACAGGCAGUGGGCACUCUUCCAGGUGCUAGAGAUACGACUGUGAACAAGAAGACCGAGUCCCUGCCCCCAUGGAGCGGACAUGCCACUUGGAGAGACGGAUGAAUAAAGAGCAGAGUGAAGCAGAGAGUGUUCUAGAAGGAGAGUAGUCAUUACCCGAGGUGGGGAAGACAGCUGAGGGGACGGCCACAUCUUCACAGGUGGAGAUUAACCAAAAAGACCAACAUCCUUUGAAGAAUCUUGGAAACGAGGGUAUGAGUGCUCCCCAUACUCUUCUUUCAACUCUUCGGUGUGAGAAUCACAGUAUG